rnacentral:sRNA from 1 species
AAUAGAGCCACAGGCAAAGAGACAAAAAGCCUCCCUGUGCGAUUUGCUGCUAAUGAAAAGCCCAGAACAGCAGUUCCAGUCCUGGUUGCAUGAUAGAAUCACCCAAAAGCUUGAAAAGCUUAAAGACCAAGCCCCAGCCUGGCCCAGUCCUUCUGUUUUAGCUGUCCUAGGUGGGGUCCUGGGCAUCCAUUGUGCCCUGAUGGACGUUCCUGCCUCCCUGCAGGCUCCCAGGAGGCCGUCUGCUGCCCAUCACCCUGCAUUGAUGGUCAAGUGAAGUUAGGGUUGGGGACACUGGCGGCCUAGGUGGUGUGGGGGCUUCCAGGAGGUGCCCCCCGAUGGUGCCAGCUGGUGGCCGUCGGGCCGCCUUUCCUCCCUGCUCAGGGCAACACUGUGGAGUCGGAGCACCUGUCGGAGCUCACGGAGGAGGAGUACGAGGCCCACUACAUCAGGCGGCAGGACCUUAAGGGCUUCGUGUGGCUGGAUGCCAAGUACCUGAACCCCUUCUUCACUCGGAGGCUGACGCAGGAGGACCUGCACCACGGGCGCAUCCAGAUGAAAACUCUCACCAACAAGUGGUACGAGGAGGUACGCCAGGGCCCCUCCGGCUCCGAGGACGACGAGCAGGAGCUGCUCUGACGCCAGGUGCCAAGGCUUCAGGCAGGCAGGCCCAGGAUGGGCGUUUGCUGCGCACAGACACUCAGCAAGGGCCUCACAGAGAUGCGUGCAUCCAGCAGCCCCUUCAAGACAUAAGAGGGCGGGGCGAGGUACUGGCUGCAGAGUCGCCUUAGUCCAGAACCUGACAGGCCUCUGGAGCCAGGCGACUUCUUGGGAAACUGUCAUCUCCCGACUCCUCCCUGAGCCAGCCUCCGCUCAGUGUGGCUCCUCAGCCCACAGAGGGGAGGGAGCAUGGGGCCAGGUGCCAGUCAUCUGUGAAGCUGGGGCACCUACCCCCCCACCCGGAGGACCCCUGCGGCCCCCUGCCUAGAGGAGCACCAUCUACAGUUGUGCCAUUCCCCAGCCACUGCCUUCAUGCUGCCCCCGCCGGACUGGCAGAGCCAGGGGUCAGCCACCUGCCUUUGAGUCAUCAAGAUGCCUCUGCAGCCACAAUUCUGACCUAAGUGGCAGGGCCCAGAAAUCCUGAAAACCUCCCGCUGCCUUUUGUGAUACUUCCUGUGCUCCCUCAGAGAGAAACGGAGUGACCUUUUGUCCUUUACCUGAUUGGCACUUCGCAGUCUGUCUCCCUGGGUAGCAGACGGCGGCUGCCCUUCUCUGGGCAUGUUCUGAAUGUUUACACUGGUACCUUCUGGUAUCUUCUUUAGAGCCCCCUGCAAGCUGCAACUCUAGGCUUUUAUCUUGCGGGGUCAGAGCGCCCUCUAGAGGGAAAAGCUAGAGGCACAGGGUUUCUGCCGGCCCACAACUGCUGUCUUGAUUUGCAUUUUACAGCAAAGUGCUGAGAGUCUCCAGUCGCCUCCUGCCAUCUGAUCUCCCUCCCCACCAUUCCCGUACUCGGUUGUUCUUUUGUCUAAUCGGAGGCCACUGUGCUGAGGCCCUGCAGUGUCGGCUCACUGCUGCCAUCUUCGCUGUUAAUCAGGGUUCCAUCCUCUUUCCCCUCUCCCAGUUCCCUACCACGUUGGAUCCCAUUCGUCACCCAUGCUAGGGUCCCCAAAGCACUGGGGCAGGGGCCAGAGCAGCAGCACCCAGUUCUCCCUCCUCUACUCUGACCUGGGGCCCCAGCAUCCUGGAGCACACGCUCCACGCACACACACCCCAGCCCUGUCCCAGGGGCCUGGCCCCCUCAGCCAUCUCAGGGUGAGGAGCUGCCAGUCAUGUCCAGAUGGAAUGACUCCCAUCCUCUCCUCAUCUCCCCUUUGACGAGCCUCAAACUGCUCAGCUCAUCAAAGAGCCAUUGCCAACUUCCGUAUGUGGUUCUGGGUCCCAGGGAGCCUUGGAACCUGGCACCCUGGGGUGGUUUAAUUCAUCAUUAAGAAGCAUUCCUGCUUCUCAAGGGACACAGUGGCCUGCAUGGGCCAGCGUGGACCCUGGGCUGAUCAUGUGCAUUCCUGCUUCUCUGGGGACACAGUGGGCCCACAUGGGCCAGCAUGGACCCUGGGCUAGAGCAAACACAUCUCCAUCUCUUCCACCUCAGGCAGUGUGGCUCCAGAUGUCAGGAGGGACUGACCUCAGGACCUUCCAGGUUCCUCUGUGCCAGGAAUGAGAGGCCAGGCCCGAUCCUACCACCUCGCCUUGACCCUGAAGUCAGAGCAGGCCAGCCGAGCAGGAAGCACACUGUUUACUUUUUGCAUGAAAAGUAAAUGUGUACUUGAUAGAGCUAAAAUAUGAUUUUUUUUAAUUCCUCAACCCCAUAAUUUGAGCCAUUGCCUUGCUUAAUUUUGGUCUCCACCAUUUCCUUUUAGUGGAGAAGAGAGGAAGUCAGAGGGUGGGGACCUUUGCCUGCCCCUGGGCGAGUGGGGGCAGGGAUCUGAGACCAGAUUGUUCUCGCGCCCCUGCCAGAACUCACUCUCCCCUGAAGUUUAGGGUCCCAUCUCCCAGAUAUAAGUUGUUUUGCAAACUCAGUUUGCCAGGAUUUCUUUCUUUCCUAAUCUUAAAUUCACAGAUAAAGCAAUGAAAAGAGUCAGAUCCCAUUUCCGUCUGCCCCCUCGUCACCAGGUGUGAUAGCCCUUAGCCACGUCACACCUGGCCUCACACUUUGAGCUGAGACUUGAAAACGAUGCUGUGGCGGAAGAGCAUGUGGGGCUUGGUGGAGGGGCCCCAGGAUUUGUUGGGGGCAAAGGGGGUGGCGGGACCGUUCCCAGGAGGUACCAGCACCUGCCUCGAUCUCCUCUGAGCCUCUUCUGCCCCCUGUCGGCCAGGUGAGGUCAGCAGCCUGGGAGAGUGCCCCCAAGAGAUGAGGGCACCCCGUGUUCCUUGGCAAUCUUGGCUCACCUUGGUAACAAAAGGCCAUAGAAGUCUGUUUUUCUGGGUCAAUUUUUUUUGCCUGAGAAUAACAAAUUGCUGCUGUCUACCUUUAGCACACCCAAUAAUUCUAUUUGGGGCAGUGAAUGCAUAGAAGAUAUAAAAAUACGCAGCUUAACUAUAUCUUCCUGCGUGUGUAUUUAUUUUCUUCUGGGUCUAGGCCAUGGUACAGGAGAACUGUGGUGUGUAGGAGGAAUACUUCAGGAUGAGUGAAGGCUGGAGCCAGGGAGCGCUGGAGGAAACCAGCCCUUUAGCCAGCAGCCCCUCCACCACAGGCGCUGCUGUGUAGAACGAGUUCUUGGAAUGAAUCCCAUGCUUUCUGCAGCCUGUAGUUGUUAUGACCCCUCGGAACAACCACCCCCUGUGGCUUGUGUGAGGUCUCGCAGGGAAAAGGGCUGGCUUCUAGGUCCCCGAGGUAAGUGUGCAGGGGGAUGGGCCAGGGCCAGGCUAAGGGUGGCUCAGUUCCAUCAUCUGCAGGUCAGACACACUGUCCAGAGGCAGAACUGAAGCCCUCUCGGCCCCUACCCUAAGCCAGCCACCCCUCUUCACAGUGGGUGAGCUGGGCCGGGCUGGCUGGCAUGAGGCCAAGGGGCAGGCCUGAGCGCCAGAGUCGCCCAGGUUAGCCCACAGGAUUCCUUUGUGUGCCAUGGAAUGCUGAAAGAUGGGUGACUGGGGACCCUUCUUAAAACCUUUGGCAAAGGUGCCAUCGGCAAGGCUUGGCCUCAUGAAGUCUCAGGUCCCUGUUCCCGCAGGGCGCACAUGCUUGGAGAGUCCUCAGCAGGGUAGCCGAGGCCAGGCCACUUCUGCUGAGGAUGGGGCAGGCUGGGGUGUGGGUGUGGCCUGGGGUGGCUCAGGGCUGGAACUGCUGCCUGAUUCCUGUGUGGGGAGAAGCUCAGUGGCCGUUUGCUGCCACUGACAAGGAUUUCACAUGCAGAAGAGAAAAGGCCCCCCUCCACCCCCCGCAUUCCCUGCCGAGUGAGUGCCAGUGUUUGCUGCCCUUGCUGGGGGCGGGUAGGAAACCCUGAGCUUCCUGAUGCGGAGUCAUGAAGCAGAGUCCUCGGGAAGGCAUCUCCACAGCCCCGGGUCCUCUGUCUAACGCCCUCCGUUUCACGCCCUCCAUCUCACAGUCAAGAUAAAGGCCUCGAGAAUAAAGAGCCAGCCCCCUUCCAUUUAGUCUCCUGCCAUUUCCCAAACAGUUGUCCAACAGUUAGACAUUGAGGGGCUUCACUGUUAUCAGGCAUGUAACAGAAGGAGAAAGACUAACACACACCCCCUGCCCCAUCCCAUCCCCCUCUCCCGAGCUAUUUUCUUGCUGUGGCCUCUGGUGCCCUUGAGUUGGUCUCCCCGGCUGCUCUGCGGGGGCUUCACUGGCUUCGGAGUGAGCGCGAAAUGCUGGUGAGCAGUGGGCCUGUGAUUGGAUGGGAAGAUGUGCAUCCGUGGUCAAAAGUCAGCUGCCAGCCCUGCGGAGCCAGAGCCUCAGGCUGGGAUGGGGAGGCCUCCCUGCUUCCACCUGCAUGGUGGGCAUGGCCUGGCUUACACCAAAGGCUUUGACGGUUUCUCCAAGUAGGGAUCUGCAAAUCUUGAAUUGUCCUCAAAAUGACGAAGCUUGAAUUGUCCUCAAGAUGGAUGUGAAUCUUACAUUCCUUUUCAUCAUUUCCUUUGUAAAAAUGACGAGUGCUGGGUUUUUGUUUUAAGAAGCAUUAUGAAGGCCAGACUUACUCAUUUUUCUCCCCCAAGUGAGCUGCAAGAGGCCCGUUAGGCCCCUGUUUCCUGAGCAGUGAUGUGCUGCUCUUCUUGGUGGGGCUUUGGGCUGGGAGGGGAAGGCGGGUCAGAGAUGGGGGACCUGUGGCUGCCAUGCAGGAGCCCCUGCGUCAUCUCGUUGGACUCUUUAAGGGAGUCAGGAAUAGAUGUAUGAACAGUCGUGCCACUGGAUGCCUAUUUAGAAAUAAAGUGUAUGCUGCUGAAUUGGA